AACAGAAAGUAGCUUGCUACUUUGCUGACGAGCGGCGGACGGGUGAGUAAUGCUUGGGAACAUGCCUUGAGGUGGGGGACAACAGUUGGAAACGACUGCUAAUACCGCAUAAUGUCUACGGACCAAAGGGGGCUUCGGCUCUCGCCUUUAGAUUGGCCCAAGUGGGAUUAGCUAGUUGGUGAGGUAAUGGCUCACCAAGGCAACGAUCCCUAGCUGGUUUGAGAGGAUGAUCAGCCACACUGGAACUGAGACACGGUCCAGACUCCUACGGGAGGCAGCAGUGGGGAAUAUUGCACAAUGGGCGAAAGCCUGAUGCAGCCAUGCCGCGUGUGUGAAGAAGGCCUUCGGGUUGUAAAGCACUUUCAGUCAGGAGGAAAGGGUGUGAGUUAAUACCUCAUAUCUGUGACGUUACUGACAGAAGAAGCACCGGCUAACUCCGUGCCAGCAGCCGCGGUAAUACGGAGGGUGCGAGCGUUAAUCGGAAUUACUGGGCGUAAAGCGUACGCAGGCGGUUUGUUAAGCGAGAUGUGAAAGCCCCGGGCUCAACCUGGGAACUGCAUUUCGAACUGGCAAACUAGAGUGUGAUAGAGGGUGGUAGAAUUUCAGGUGUAGCGGUGAAAUGCGUAGAGAUCUGAAGGAAUACCGAUGGCGAAGGCAGCCACCUGGGUCAACACUGACGCUCAUGUACGAAAGCGUGGGG
rnacentral:rRNA from 1 species